UCUCGAUUGGUUUAGUGGUUAGAAUUUCCGCUUGUCAAUCAAUGAUUCACAUGCGCGGGAGACCGGGGUUCGAUUCCCCGAUCGAGAG